rnacentral:rRNA from 1 species
UACGUAGGGUCCAAGCGUUAUCCGGAAUCACUGGGCGUAAAGCGUGCGUAGGCGGCGUGUUAAGUGUGAUGUUAAAUCGUGUAGCUCAACCAUAUCGAUGCAUCACAUACUGGCAUGCUAGAGGAAGGCAGAGGCAAGUGGAAUUUGUAGUGUAGCAGUGAAAUGCGUAGAUAUUACAAGGAACACCAAUGGCGAAGGCAGCUUGCUGGGCCUUUUCUGACGCUGAGGUACGAAAGCGUGGGGAGCGAACAGG